AAGAGCUCGCUAGGCGGUUUGUCGCGUCUGCUGUGAAAGCCCGGGGCUCAACCCCGGGUCUGCAGUGGGUACGGGCAGACUAGAGUGCAGUAGGGGAGACUGGAAUUCCUGGUGUAGCGGUGAAAUGCGCAGAUAUCAGGAGGAACACCGAUGGCGAAGGCAGGUCUCUGGGCUGUUACUGACGCUGAGGAGCGAAAGCAUGGGGAGCGAACAGGAUUAGAUACCCUGGUAGUCCAUGCCGUAAACGUUGGGCACUAGGUGUGGGGGACAUUCCACGUUCUCCGCGCCGUAGCUAACGCAUUAAGUGCCCCGCCUGGGGAGUACGGCCGCAAGGCUAAAACUCAAAGGAAUUGACGGGGGCCCGCACAAGCGGCGGAGCAUGCGGAUUAAUUCGAUGCAACGCGAAGAACCUUACCAAGGCUUGACAUUCACCGGACCGCACUGGAGACAGUGCUUCCCUUCGGGGUCGGUGGACAGGUGGUGCAUGGUUGUCGUCAGCUCGUGUCGUGAGAUGUUGGGUUAAGUCCCGCAACGAGCGCAACCCUCGUUCUAUGUUGCCAGCACGUGAUGGUGGGGACUCAUAGGAGACUGCCGGGGUCAACUCGGAGGAAGGUGGAGAUGACGUCAAAUCAUCAUGCCCCUUAUGUCUUGGGCUUCACGCAUGCUACAAUGGCCGGUACAAAGGGUUGCGAUACUGUGAGGUGGAGCUAAUCCCAAAAAGCCGGUCUCAGUUCGGAUUGAGGUCUGCAACUCGACCUCAUGAAGUCGGAGUCGCUAGUAAUCGCAGAUCAGCAACGCUGCGGUGAAUACGUUCGCGGGUCUUGUACACACC
rnacentral:rRNA from 1 species